GACGAACGCUGGCGGCGUGCCUAAUACAUGCAAGUCGAGCGAAUCUUGAGGUGCUUGCACCUCUUGGUUAGCGGCGGACGGGUGAGUAACACGUGGGCAACCUGCCUGUAAGACUGGGAUAACUUCGGGAAACCGGAGCUAAUACCGGAUAAUCCUCUUCCUCUCAUGAGGGAAAGUUGAAAGUCGGUUUACGCUGACACUUACAGAUGGGCCCGCGGCGCAUUAGCUAGUUGGUGAGGUAACGGCGCACCAAGGCGACGAUGCGUAGCCGACCUGAGAAGGUGAGCGGCCACACUGGGACUGCGACACGGCCCAGACUCCUACGGGAGGCAGCAGUAGGGAAUCUUCCGCAAUGGACGAAAGUCUGACGGAGCAACGCCGCGUGAGCGAUGAAGGCCUUCGGGUCGUAAAGCUCUGUUGUUAGGGAAGAACAAGUAUCGGAGUAACUGCCGGUACCUUGACGGUACCUAACCAGAAAGCCACGGCUAACUACGUGCCAGCAGCCGCAGUAACAC
rnacentral:rRNA from 1 species